UUUCAGUCACACAUACACACACACACACACACACACACUCCCUCUCUCUCAUCCGCUGCUCUUCCUCUCUGCUUCCUCAGUCUCUCUCCCUCAUUCUUCUCUUCCUCCCUUCAACUCUCAUUCCUCUCUUCCUCUCUCUAACCUGCCAAGUGUAUGGUUGUAACAUGGAUCUUACUUUUUUAAAGGAUUACCACAAGAGGCGUAGGGUUUGUGAUGGAUUUAUUUGACAAUCCCCAUUUUUUCCCUCUCCAAAUCUUACACCUCUUGUAUCUCUGCUCCUCGUUUGAUAGACUCUCUCUGUGGACUCUCACCUACAACAACAACAACUUCUUCACUCAUUUCUAAUAUUCCUUGCUUUCUCCAUAAACUUUCGAUCUCUGCUUUUCAAAUACAAGCCAAAUAGUUUUUUACUCUGGGAUUCAUAUGGAGGUCGCACCAGACAUCCAUCUUUGUUCCUCCGGAUUUCUUUAACAGUAAGUAUUCAAUUUCUUCCUUUUUUUUUUCUUUCUUGUUUAAUUCUUUGAGUGCUGAAAAUGGCAGUUUUUAUUUUUAUUUUUAUGCAUUGAUUAAUAGUUUUUAUUUCAUUGGUUUGUUGACUAUGCUAUGUGAAUUUAUUUGUUGACUAUGCUUUGUGAAUUUUUGAAGAAAAAUUGGCUGAUGUUGUUCUUGGAUUUGUCUUUGAUGAGCCCUAUGUGGUAAAGAUCUUUGGUUUUUGGAUCUUUACUCUUUAUUAAAACCUUGGAUCUCAUAUGUUUGGCUGUGUUCGGACAGGUGCUCGUGGCUGAACGUUACAAUCGGCGAGGCGUCGAUUGGUUGGUGGCGAGGGUUUGUGCUAGUAGGGAUGCUCGACGGCAGGUGCUGCAGUAGAAGCCUAGGUUUUCUUUUGUUGUAUUUUAUGGCUUGGGCCUUUACUAUUUGUUGGAUCUAUUGGGCUUGACACGCCCCGAUCCAAAUAUUCCCCAAAUACCAGGAUAAGCACGUGUUGGUCGACACCCGAGGGUGACGAAAGCAAUUUAUUGAGUGCAAAAGUUGAAAACAAGAGAUAGAUAAGACAUAUAAAUAUAAGAGGAUAAAUAAUGUGCAUUUAAGGAACGUGUUCAGAGCAUACAACUAACUAGAACACUAAAAGAAUAAUAUAAAAUUGAAUGAAUAAAAGAAUGGGUCAUACACCAAGAAGACUCGAAAAUGCCGAUGCGGAAUUGUUUGGAUGCCGGGAUUGUAUGCCUCAAUUCUAAGUCCUGAAGGGGGCGCAAAACAAACAUGAGUGGACCAAUUUGAUAUAUAAAUAGUAAACGGUUAUCAAUGUACUAACCCCCA
rnacentral:lncRNA from 1 species